CCGAGCUCGGCUCCGCUCGGCUCGUGUGCGGCCCCGCCGGGCCCUUGUUCCGCCGAUGGCGGCCGGGCUGGGGCCGUGGCUGCUGGGCUUGGGCUUGGCCUUGGGGCCGGCAGGCGUGUGGGCGCAGCUGAGGCUGGUGGAGGCCGGCGGAGGGCAGCGAGCGCCCGGGGACUCCGUGCUCCUCUCCUGCCGCGGACACGGCUUCAACUUCGGGAGUUACGGAAUGUUCUGGUACCGUCAGGCACCCGGCGGCAGCCUGGAGUGGGUGUCCCUUAUCUACCCUGAUUCAUCAGUGAUUCGAUACGGACGGGCAGUGGAUGGUCGAGCCACGGUGUCCCGGGACGAUUCCCGGUCUGAGACAUCUCUGUCUCUAAGUGCCCUGAGCCCACAGGACUCUGCCCGCUACUUCUGUGCAACGCCCACGGAGACAGGAAUUGCAUCUGAGCUGUAACAGAAACCUCCUGGCAGCGUCCCAGCACAGGCUGCAGGUGGCUUGGAGACAGUGAAUGCUGAGGUUUCUCGGUACCUUUCUAAAUGAGGCGGGUAGAGAGGAGCCAUCGCUGCACAGCAUAGAUGAUUCUGGCGUUUCUCUAAGAGCUCCUUUCCUGGCAGUGCCAAUUUCCCGACAGGCACCAACCUGCCACUCAUCUGGUGCUGUGCACUGGGGCUGGACACUGCUCAUGGGGCACUGCAGCCCAUCUUGAAAGAGCAGGAUUUAGGAGGGCAGCGUAGGGGACAAGCUGUCCCUUGCCUGUGAGACGUCCUUGUCCCUGCUGUGCUCAUUCAGAGCUGUUCAAAGGGACAGGACUGUCAAGGAGUGGUUAAGGGAGAAUGGACAUGGACCCCGGGGUAUAAUGUUAGGCCCGAUGGGGCAAGGCAAUCUGAGUUCCAGUUAUAUGAAUUUAAUGCACAAUCAAGA